rnacentral:rRNA from 1 species
UACGGGGGGGGCAAGCGUUGUUCGGAAUUACUGGGCGUAAAGGGUUCGUAGGUGGCCAACUAAGUCAGACGUGAAAUCCCCCGGCUUAACCUGGGAACUGCGUCUGAUACUGGAGGGCUUGAGUAUGGGAGAGGGAUGUAGAAUUCCAGGUGUAGCGGUGAAAUGCGUAGAUAUCUGGAGGAAUACCGGUGGCGAAGGCGGCAUCCUGGACCAUUACUGACGCUGAGGCGCGAAAGCUAGGGGAGCAAACGGG